CUACCCCAAACCCUAAAGGCACCUCCAAGUUGCGAGUAGCUCAGUUUGGUCGCUGGCGGGAGGGAGGCGGGAGUAGACGACCCCAGAUUGCUGUGAGAAGACAGAAUGAGAUGGUAGUUUGCAGAUUGGCGUUUUGCACUUAAGUACCCAGGUUAAAACUGUCAUAGAAACAACAAAGUCCUUGCUACCUGUGGUGACCUGAAAAUAAAAUGCAGAACAAUCCUGCUAGAGCCUGGGAUCGGGAAGUCCUCACGGGAAGAAAGCCAGGAGGAAAGAAAGGUUUCUAGACCACGUGUUUCGGCAGCAGUGGCACGGUAAGGUUGAGGUGGAGUUUGGGCUGCUGGCCCUCUCCUGCCCACUCCAGCUCUCACUCUCACAGGCAUCAGUGUGGGGUUGGCUUCCUGGACUUUCGAGGACAAUAUUCAGUUCUAGGACUGUAGUGAUUCUGUCUAGUAGAGGGAUUACAAGUACUGUCCUUUAUAGAUAUUCAGCAAGAGAGAAGAUGGGCAUGAAUUCUGGGUGGUUGAAUUUGCAAUUAAAAUCUCUAACUUAUGUCACAAUGACAUACUAUUUAUAAAAUUUAUCUUUGGUUUAGAAACU